rnacentral:lncRNA from 1 species
GUGAGCAUGACGUGGGAUUUUUCAUCUGGAUGGAGUUAUAAGAAGCUAAGUUUGAUGAAUGACUUCCAGAUAUACUGGCAGCCCUAGGAUGCAUCACGGCCCUUGGGAUGGUGGUGUUCUUCCCACUCCAGAUGUUUGAUGUGUCGUCUUCUUCCAGAACCCUGAGAGCCUUCCGCCAAUCCCCACACCUCCAUUCUUUCUGCUGGACUUCUCAGAGGUCAUCCCAUACAUGGCGCUCUGCCACAGCUUCCCAGAAACAGAUCAGCAAACCCUCACCAGCGAGAAGGAAGCUAUCCACAACCCAGGAAGAGAGCUCUCACCAAGAACCGAAUCUGCUAGCACUUUGGACUUCCCAGCCUUCAGAACGCUCUAUUGUCUCCUAGGCUCUGGAGUCCCUGACCAAUUCCUCGUCCACAUUUGGCUGGCAGUGGAGGAAGAGCGUGAGGGGAUCGCACAGGAGGCUUUUGUGGGCCAGGUUUGGAAGGCCGAACUCAGUUGCACCCACGUGGUCACACUUACAUGCAAGGCAGCCUGGGAGAAGUCGUCCAGCUGUGCGCCCAAGAGACAGAGGAAUGCUUUUGCGCCUCCGUAGCACUCUCUGCGCUCAACAGAAUUAGACUCCGGUUUCCUUAGGUUCCUUUCUCCUUUCAAUUUUGCUUAAGUCUCUAAUAAUUUAUGAGUAUCCCUAAUUACCUUAAUCUCUUUAGUUCCUGAGUCCAGAUUAUGAGCGUUUAGAUACCACUUAUCCAAGUCCAUUAGGUUCCUGCGUUCAGAUAGGAAGAGUUUUGAUAGCUAGGAUUUAUUCGUUCUUCCUUUAAAAAAAGAAAAUUGAAAUGUGCAGCCUCUCUGAGCUCAUCCCCUAUCCUUCAUUUCAGACAAUAGCUCUUAAAUCAACUCAGAGUAUUGCCUGUCUUAUUUAAAAAUUUUACAGCAAGGUUUCAUGUCUUGCCAAGGAAACAAUGUGUAACAGUCCUUUCUGUAAGUGAUUCCUCAUUCCUAACCUAAAUCUUUC